rnacentral:rRNA from 1 species
GCCAAGGGCAUGGCUGGGUAGCUAUGUACGGAAUGGAUAAGCGCUGAAAGCAUCUAAGCGCGAAGCCAACUUCAAGAUAAGAUUUCCCACCGCAAGGGUAAGACCCCAGAAAGACUAGCUGGUUGAUAGGUCGAAGGUGUAAGUGCAGCAAUGUAUUUAGCUUAUCGAUACUAAUAGGUCGAGGACUUGACCAAU